ACUUAAAUAGCUUAAUAAAGAGCAUAAUAUUGAAGAUAUUAAGGUAAUAAAAAUAUUUUUAAGUA
rnacentral:tRNA from 1 species